rnacentral:lncRNA from 1 species
GGCCAGCUGGAGGCAUUGAUGAGGGCGGAGUUCACGGCUUUUUACCGUUUUGGUGCAAGGCUGCCAGGCUUUGGGCGGUGGGAAACCCUAGGGUUUCCCUGAUUGUGUUGAAUUUUUGGGCUUAUUGGGCUUGAUUUUUUUGGGCUAGUUGGGCCAUUUGUAAUGGACUAUAAUUUUUAUUUUUUGGUUUAUUCUGCUGGUAUGGGCCCGGGCUAAAUUGGGC